CUUAUUGAGGCUUCAUGUUCAACCACCUCCAAAAGGCAGGAAAAUUGAGCAGGACUACGAGCCCACAGUGUGACUGACCUUCAGCCAGGGUCCUCCUGUCACCUGCGGAAGUUUCAGAGAUGACAAGGAAAAUCUUCAUUACCAUUUCAAGAACUGGGAACAAAGAAAAAUCCCGUUCCAGGACGCAAAGGAGGAGAUGCGGGUAGCUGAACAGAAACUUUUGAAGAUUACCAUGGGAAUACACCUGUGAACUUCCAGGUUUGAUCUCAGUUACUCCCUUACUUGAAGAAGGCUUCGAUGAUUCCUCAUGGAGAAAUCCCAGAUACUUCUGCACAUGAUUCAGAGGUCCCUUACAACUGGCUUCAGCCUGCCUUCCAAGCCCUGUCUCUCGCCUCUCCCUUCCUUCACACUGUGCUUCAGCGAGAUGCUGUGUUUUUUGCAAAUGGACGGUUUGGGCAACUCUUUGUGGAGCAAGUCUAUCGGUGCCAUUUUCCCAACAACAUGGAUUCACUUCAUGUCUCUGAGUCACAUUUUGGCUGGAGUGUGGUGGCGUGAUCUUGGUUCACUGCAACCU
rnacentral:lncRNA from 1 species